GUUUUGUUUAGGAAAAACAUUCUGCAGCCCUAUUUAUUCCCUUGAAAUAAAGCCCUUCAGACAUUUGCAAAGGGCCAAAGUGAGGUCUUUGCUAUUUCAGACUUUAUUAUUGGGAAAGUAUCAGCCUCCAACACAAGAAAGAAACCACUGCAUACAGCAACUACAUAUUUCACUCGGCUCUAUAAAGCAGGAAACAGCAGGCUGAAAUGCAAAAGUUACUAUUAUUUUGCCUGGAAAUAAUUUCUGACUUUAACUUAAUCAUUCAACGUCUGACUUUGCUUUUCUAAUUACAUCAGCUGAUGGAUCUGUCAAUAUCAAGGAGCGCAAUGUGAGAAAGACACCAUCUCCCUCAGGCACUCCAGCUUCCUGCCACAUCCCAAAGGUGUCCACGUUAGGUUAACAGGCAUGUCUACAUUGUCCCAGUCUGAGGGAGUGUGAGAGUGUGUGAGAGACUACUCCUGCAAUUGAAUGACAUCCUGUCCAGGGCUGGUGCCUGCCUUGCAUCCUAACCUUCUGGCACAGCCUCCAGCCAUCCAAGAAGCUGAACUGGAAUACAUCAGUUGGAAAAUGAAUGAAGGAAUGAAUACAAAUAAUUGUAAAAUAAAAAUGUGUACAGUCCAUGAUAAUCACACAGAUGCGCAACCAUUAACAAUGUGGGAUGAAAGCACCUGCCUCUGCAAGUACAGAUGAGUCACUGCUUCUACA
rnacentral:lncRNA from 1 species